GACGAACGCUGGCGGCGUGCUUAACACAUGCAAGUCGAACGGAAAGGCCCUGCUUUUGUGGGGUGCUCGAGUGGCGAACGGGUGAGUAACACGUGAGUAACCUGCCCUUGACUUUGGGAUAACUUCAGGAAACUGGGGCUAAUACCGGAUCGGAGCUCCUGCUGCUUGGUGGGGGUUGGAAAGUUUCGGCGGUUGGGGAUGGACUCGCGGCUUAUCAGUUUGUUGGUGGGGUAGUGGCAUACCAAGGAUUUGACGGGUAGCCGGCCUGCGAGGGUGACCGGCCACAUAGGGACUGAGAUACGGCCCAGACUCCUACGGGAGGCAGCAGGGGGGAAUAGUGCACAAUGGGCGGAAGCCUGAUGCAGCAACGCCGCGAGCGGGAUGACGGCCCUCGGGGUGUAAACCGCUUUCGCCUGUGACGAACCGUGAGUGACGGUAAUGGGUAAAGAAGCACCGGCUAACUACGUG
rnacentral:rRNA from 1 species